ACUCACCCACAGGUGCAGGGUGGCUCCCUCCCGACAAGGAAGCCCCAGCCCACACUGGCAGCUGCCCAAGGGCCUGGGGCGCUCGUGUGCACAGGCCACUAAAGUCACCCAAUGCCAGCCAGCCUUGGUGAAAAUUACCAUUUGCUCAACUGAGAUACUGGGUCCAUGACUCCAAGGGGAGCUCGUUCUGGUUGCUCUGGGUAUAGAGACUCUGAACUGUCCUGCCACGUAAAGAGAACAGUCUCGUUUCUCACACUCUGCGAAAAGACAGGUACGUGGCCCGCUCGCUGCCUUCUCCAGCCUUUGCACAAAGAACUUACAGCUUUUGAGUACAACCCACAGCUUACAGGGUCUUAGAAGCAAAAUUCGUGUUUGGAGCAAUUGUCAGACUGCAGCUUGGCAACACACUUCCUAUGUGCCUUUGCUACUAUUUGAACAACUGCUAUCAGCUGGAAGGGUUAUUCCCUCCUGCCGUUAGGGCAUUGCUUUCCCUGGAUCUAGAACAAGACUGACCAGAUGUGUCUGGAGUUGAUUGCUGCCAUUGGGUUCUUCGUUUCGCUGACCAAAAAUGAAGCCGUGGACCUUCCCGGUGAGUAUUACAGCUCUUAAAGGUGGCACAGACCCAAACAGGGACCAGUAGAAAGAUUUAUUGUGAAGAGCAAAAAAAUAAGCUUCCAAAGUAUAGAAAAGAACCCUACAGGUUGCUGCUGCUGGCUGGCUAAGUGCUGAAGACCGGGCCAGCUUUUAUUCCCUUAUUUGUCCCCUCCCAUGUUCUGUUUCUGUCCUAUCAGAGUGCCCUUUUUUCAAUCCUCCCUGCGAUUGGCUACUUUUGGGAUCCUGCUGAUUGGUGCAUUUUACAGAGCACUGAUUGCUGCAUUUUACAGAGUGCUGAUUGGUGCAUUUUACAGAGCACUGAUUGGUGCAUUUUGUAAUCCUCUUGCUAGCUACAGAGAGGUGAUUGGUGUGUUUUACAAUCCUAGCUACAGAGUGCUGAUUGGUGAGUCUUACAAUCCUCUUAUAAGACAGAAAAGUUCUCCAAGUCCCCACUCGACCCAGGAAGUCCAGCUGGCUUCACGUCUCACAGGGGCGUCAGGCCCAGAGAGGUCAUUUUGGAAUGACCAAAGGGUAUCAUUGGUGGCCCCUUUAAGAAAAUAUUCUGUUUCCAGAAGGCCCUAGAAACUUCCCUUCCCAUGCAUAGUCAACUAAAUUGGCAAGAAUUCUGCCUACUUGGUUGAUACUCUCUUGGAUGAUGACUCUUAUUUGCAGGGGUGCUCUCUCCCCACCUUCCUGCUUUCUCUGUCUUAUUUAAUGUCCAGGAACAAAAAGGGUGGAAAAAUUAAGAGGUGGCCUCAGUCCUGUCCACCCUGGGCGAGGUGGUCAGAUCCUGCUGGCGACUGCAGCUGUUUCUCUCAGGAGGAUGAUGAAUACCCUACAGAUGGCAGCUGCUCCUGUUCUCAGGAGCCUGGUCAUUAGGAAGAAAAGGAUAAAAACCCCAAACCUGUUAUCUACUGAGCAAUUCUGAGCUGCUCUGGAAAUUUGAAAGGCACUGGGAAGAAAAGUGUCACCAGUUCUGCUGGGACGGGGCCAGGGUGUGGGUGGGGGAUUCGGGCAGGGCUGGCUGCUCGCUCGCCCCCUCCCUCCCUGGAGGGCCCACUCUGCACUCCUGCCCUUCUUCCAACUUUUCCUCCUUCUUAUUAUCUUCGGAUCUUCCUUCUGUUCCUCUACAGCUGAGCCUUCCUGAGGAGGUAAAGGAGUGUCCCUGGUGCUUGGGCAAAUGGAACCGGUUCAGCCCAUGCUGUCACCACGUGCAGGGCCCUCUCUCAGUGUGACUGGUGUGACAGGAGGAAGAAGGGCAGUGAGCCGUGGCCCAGCUAUUGCAGGGACAGCCAGAGCAGCUUCCUGCAGUGCAAGCCCUGCCUGACGCCCUUCUGCCUUUCUCAUCGGGUCUCAGCUCGUCCUGGCCACACCCGUCCAGGCCUUUUCUGCAGGAAAGGAACUUUUGCUCAACCAUCCAUUUUGAAAGUGGAGACUCUAUCUCCAUUCUAACGCUCCUUUUCUUUUAGACUUUUAAACACAUUUUUUUUUUUAAUAGAGACAGAGUCUCGCUCUGUUGCCCAGGCUGGAGUGCAACAGUGCGAUCUUGGCUCACUGCCAACCCCCCGCCUCCCGGAUUCAAGUGAUUCUCUUGUCUCAGCCUCCCAAGUAGCUGGGACUACAGGCAUGUGCCACCACAUCCGGCUAAUUUUUUUUUUUUUUUUGUAUUUUUAGUAGAGACGGAGUUUCACCAUGUUGGCCAGGCUGUUGUCGAACUCCUGACCUCAGGUGAUUCGGCCUCCCAGAGUGCUGGGAUUACAGGCGUCAGCCACCGCGCCUGGCCUAAACACAAUUUUACUGUGAAAACAAAACUGGAAACUGGAUGGUGUAAUGAUCUUCUACAUACAAUCGUCCCGCAGUAUUUGUAGGGGAUUGGCUCCGGGACCCCCAAAGAUAACAAAAUCUGAAAAGACUCAAAUCCUUGAUAAAAUGGUACAGUAUUUGCAUGUAACCUCCACGCACCAUCCUAUAUACUUUAAAUCAUUUCUAGUUUUCUUGUAAUAUCUAAUACCAUGUAAAUGCUAUGAAAUAGUUGUUAUAUUGGUUUUUAUUUGCAUUAUUUUUUAUUAUUGUAUUUAAAAAAUUUUUUUCCAGAGUAUUUUCAAUCUGCAGUUGGUUGAAUGGGCAGAUAGAUACAGAACCCGUGGGUAAUGAAGGCCAAAUGUACUAUCUUGAUUCAAUAAUUGCUAUGCUAACAUUUCUCCACAUUUGAUUUAAUUUCAACACACACACACUCUAAAUAUGUUUGUUGCUCUACCAUUUGAGAUUAAGUUGCAGACAUUGUAGUAAAGUUGGCAUUGCAGAUUGGCAGAGGAAAGAUGGGCUCUUUAGUGAAUUAUAUUGGGACAGCUGUCCCGCCUCUUCAGGGAAAAAUAAAUUGUAGCCCUAUUGAACUCUUUGACCAAAAUUAAUUCUGGAUGAAACAAAAAUUUAAAUCUGAAAAGUGAAAUAAUAAAAAUGCUAGAGGAGAGUAUAGGUGACUAUUUUUAUAAUCCUGAAACAAGAAAAGCCUUUCUAAACAUGCCACAAAAUCACAAGUCAUGAAAAAAAAACAGAUAAAUAUGACAAUAAAAAUAAAUACACAUAGGCCAGGUGCAGUGGCUCAUGCCUGUAAUCUCAGCACAUUGGUAAGCUGAGGUGAGCAGAUUGCUUGAGUCUAGAAGUUGGAGACCAGCCUGGGCAACAUGGCAAGACCCUGUCUCUACAAAAAAUUUUUUAAAAAGUAGGCACGGCAGUGCACGCCUGUGGUUCCAUCCACUCAGGAGGCUGAGGUGGAAGGAUCGCUUGAGCCAGGGAGGUGGAUGCUGGAGUGACCCAAGAUCAUGCCACUGUACUCCAGCCUGGGUGACAGAGCAAGACCCUGUCGCAAAAAAUACAUACAUAUAUACACCCAUACAUAUAUAUGGGUAAGUAAAGUGUAAACUGUGCCUCUUUACUGACUUUAAACAAAAAGCAAUAGUCAUGUUUCACUUAACAACAGGGACACAGUCGAAGAAAUGCGUUGUUAGAUGAUUUCAUUGUUAUGAGAACAUCACAGAGGGCACUUACACAAGCCUAGAUGGUCCAGCCUCCGACACACCUAGGCUAUAUGGUGUAGCCUGCAGCUCCUAGGCUACAUACGUGUACAGCAUGGCACUGUGCUGGAUACAGUAGGCAGCUGUAACACAGCCAUGAGUAUUUGUGCAUGUAAACAUAGAAAAGGUACAGUAAAAAUGUGAUAUUAUAAUUUUAUGGGACCACUGUUAUAUACGAUCUGUUGUUGACCAAAAUGUGGUUAUGUGGUUCAUGACUAUACUUAUGGAUAGCACAUCAAGUCAAUGGGGAGAAUAUUUUGUCACGCAUUAAUAGUAAAAGUAGUUCUCUUAAGAUACAAAGAGCUCUUGCAGAUCAGUUUUUAGAAGAUGACAAAUCUAAGGUCAGAGCUCAGUAACUGACAGUUCCUGGAAGAACAAUGGCCAAUAAGCAUAAAGACAUACUCAACUUCACCACCACCGAAGAAAUGUCUGGAAGACAGCGAGUCAUCAGUUCCCUUCAUGGAUUGUCUCAGAUUGGCCAAGACUAAAAUGAGGGAUAAUCCCUGGGGCUGGGCAGGUGUUAAGAAGCACAUUCUCAUCUGCCACUGGAAGAGAGUAAAGUGGUUCUGCCCUCUUACAGACAAUUGAGAAAAAAAAAAUUGAAAAUAAAACUUUGAAAGCCUUUAGACCCAGCUCAGCAAUCCUGCUGCUGAAGAUUUAUCUCACAGAAAAAAAAAAAAAUGCAAGCAAGCGUGUGAGUUGCGGCCUACAGGGAUGUUUGCUGCAGCACUGGGGGGAAACCUGGAAAUGGCGCCCUAUUCACUGGAUGCAGGUGGCAGGUGAGCUCUCACAGUGGGGCUUAGCCCCUGAGGGUUCUUGGCUUCACCCAGGAAAGAAUGCAAGGGCCAGCUGGUGGCAUUAUGCAGCCACUUUUCCUGAACUGGGCCAGGGCUGACUCCUCAGCAGUGCACCCGGAGUCAGCAGCAUAUGGGCUGAGGCAGCUGCACUCACAGCCACUUAUACUGACUUCUAAUGACAUGCACAUUAGGGGCAGGUUAUUUGGAAAUCUCUAAGGAAAAGGCAGCAACUUCCACAGCAUUUGUAAACUGUCAUGGUGCUGAUGGGAGUGUCUUGUGCUAAUGGACAAUGAGGGCAAGGAGAGGUUGCUUUUAGGGCCAUGUGCUAGUUCCCACGGGUUUCCUCCUUCAUCCCGUGGGGACCAGGAAAUAAGUCCUGCAGGCCUCUGACCUCAAACUAAGAUGGGAAUAACGCACAAAGGGUGGAAAACCCCAGCCUGGCCAUGACGUGUGGUCACAAAGCACAAAGCAGAGGCACACAGUGACUCCUGCAGCUCAGCAUGGGACCUGGGGCUCAGAGACGGAACCUAGGGGCUGGGUCCCUGCUGUGCGUUCUGACUCCACGGCACCCUCUCUCACUGUGACCUCGUAUGGGCCGCUUUGCCUCUGUGUGUUCACAUUCUCAUCUUGAUGAAGGGAGCACAAGUAUCCAGCUUGCCAUGGGCUGAAGUGUACCCCCCAAAUUCAUAUGUUGAAGCCCCAAUCCCUAACAGGAUGGUACUGAAACCUGCCCUAGGAUUAGACAGGAUUUGUUAACCAGCAAAAUUUCUUGAGCUCAUUUUGCAGGACAGUGGAGAAGACGACAAUUUGCUACAAUCCCCUCUAUUUGCAACUAAGUGGGCUGCCAGGAGGGACCAGUUGGAGCCAACAUGGCUGACUAGAGUCUGCAGAGUGCACUGACUCACCCACGAGCCACCUUUUGAUGUCAGAGGGCCCAAAACCCCACUUCCAGGUCAUGCUAAUGCCAACAUUGUUUUUAAACAUGCAACCCAUGAAGCAGCAGGUAGGGCGACAGUGAGUGACCGAGGGACUCAACAAAGCCCCUUCCUUCCAGCCAAUCUUCGUCCCGCCCCGAAACCCCACCCUCAAAAUCUGUCUCUUACAUCUAUGGUGGCAAGGCCAGUGGGAAGACAGAUAGGAACAUUUCCUCCGGUCUCCAUGUCACUCAACUGGCAAUAAAGCCUUCCUAUUGCAAAAACUUGGUGCUUCGGUGUUUGGCUUCCGUUCCUUGAGGGCAAGUGGACCCAGUUUGGU